GAGAAAGAGAAUCCAUAUAGCCUAUCCCAAUAAAUUUUUGGGAUAAAUGCUGAGUUGAGUUGAGUAGAUUGGAUUCUGGUUGGUCGGUUUACUCAUAUAAUGAACAGCCCUAAUUAAUACAUCACCUAUUGAUCUCUAGUUCUUUGCUUUCCAUAAUCUUUUACUCUGCCUAAUUAGGGUUAAUUUAUUUUUUUUUUUUUAAUAUCAGAAUGAAAAAUCAAUAUAAUUUGUCAUGGCAGUAAGAAGAGAGUUCCUAAGCUGAAUGCCCUUGAAAUGCAGGAGAUGAGAAUGAUGACAGAACAAUGGAAGAGGUACAGAACUUGCGCAGAACCAAGUGUGAGUCUGAACGGAAAUACCAGAAGGCAAUUGUGAUCCCUUCAGCCUACCAGGAGUUAUAUGUGGAGAACAUCAACUAAAUUCAUAAUUUCAUGGUUCAUGAACAGCCCAAACAUGGUAUGCAGGAAAAGCAGCAGGCAACUGGCAAGAGCUCCUGAUUUCCACACUAAGAUGCAUGCAGAGGAUUUUCUUGACUUUAAACAUAGUUUGGAGACUUAUUUGAGAGGAAAUUAAUGCUUAAAGAGGAAAAGUCUUAAUUAUGAAGUUUAAGUUGAUGGGAGUGUGCCUCAGUGGUGGAAAAGAUUGAAGGAACAGCAGACUAUAAGGGAUUGGAAAUUGAUGAAAGCCAAAUU
rnacentral:misc_RNA from 1 species